rnacentral:rRNA from 1 species
GGGCUCACACAAGCGGUGGAGCAUGUGGCUUAAUUCGAAGCAACGCGAAGAACCUUAUCCUGGGUUUGACAUGUACGGAUUAACUCCCUGAAAGGGGAGCCACGCCUUCGGGUGGAACGUACACAGGUGUUGCAUGGCUGUCGUCAGCUCGUGCUGUGAAGUGUCGGGUUAAGUCCCUUAACGAGCGCAACCCCUGUCGCUAGUUGCCAGCACAUAAUGGUGGGGACUCUAGCGAGACUGCCGGUGUUAAACCGGAGGAAGGUGGGGACGACGUCAAGUCCGCAUGGCCUUUAUGCCCAGGGCUGCACACGUGCUACAAUGGUAGGUACAGAACGACGCAAUACCGCGAGGUGGAGCAAAUCGCAAAAACCUGCCCCAGUUCGGAUUGGAGGCUGCAAUUCGCCUCCAUG